UGCGCUUACAAUCCGUCAGAGCCCUCCUUCGUGGUGGGGUGAUGGCGUGCCUUUUGAAGAAUGAGCCUGCGAGUCAGGGACAUGUCGCGAGGUUAACCCGGGUGGGGUAGCCGUAGCGAAAGCGAGUCUGAAUAGGGCGUAUCCACACAAGAGUGUGUGGUGUAGUGGUGUGUUCUGGACCCGAAGCGGAGUGAUCUACCCAUGGCCAGGGUGAAGCGCGGGUAAGACCGCGUGGAGG
rnacentral:rRNA from 1 species